AAUGAAGUGCCUGAAAAAGGAUUAUUUUGAUAGAAUAAAUCAUGUAAUUAUAUUACCUUCAUUA
rnacentral:tRNA from 1 species